rnacentral:rRNA from 1 species
GACGAACGCUGGCGGCGUGCUUAACACAUGCAAGUCGAACGGAAAGGCCCUGCUUUUGUGGGGUGCUCGAGUGGCGAACGGGUGAGUAACACGUGAGUAACCUGCCCUUGACUUUGGGAUAACUUCAGGAAACUGGGGCUAAUACCGGAUAGGAGCUCCUGCUGCAUGGUGGGGGUUGGAAAGUUUCGGCGGUUGGGGCUGGACUCGCGGCUUAUCAGCUUGUUGGUGGGGUAGGGGCUUACCAAGGCUUUGACGGGUAGCCGGCCUGGGAGGGUGGCCGGCCACAUUGGGACUGAGAUACGGCCCAGACUCCUACGGGCGGCAGCAGUGGGGAAUAUUGCACAAUGGGCGGAAGCCUGAGGCAGCAACGCCGCGUGCGGGAUGACGGCCUUCGGGUUGUAAACCGCUUUCGCCUGCGACGAAGCGUGAGUGACGGUAAUGGGUAAAGAAGCACCGGCUAACUACGUG